UAGGGAAUCCUCCACAAUGGGCGCAAGUCUGAUGGAGCAACGCCGCGUGAGUGAAGAAGGUUUUCGGAUCGUAAAGCUCUGUUGUUGGUGAAGAAGGAUAGNGGCAGUAACUGGUCUUUAUUUGACGGUAAUCAACCAGAAAGUCACGGCUAACUACGUGCCAGCAGCCGCGGUAAUACGUAGGUGGCAAGCGUUGUCCGGAUUUAUUGGGCGUAAAGCGAGCGCAGGCGGAAUGAUAAGUCUGAUGUGAAAGC
rnacentral:rRNA from 1 species